rnacentral:rRNA from 1 species
GAUGAACGCUGGCGGCGUGCCUAAUACAUGCAAGUCGAGCGAAUGGAUUAAGAGCUUGCUCUUAUGAAGUUAGCGGCGGACGGGUGAGUAACACGUGGGUAACCUGCCCAUAAGACUGGGAUAACUCCGGGAAACCGGGGCUAAUACCGGAUAACAUUUUGAACCGCAUGGUUCGAAAUUGAAAGGCGGCUUCGGCUGUCACUUAUGGAUGGACCCGCGUCGCAUUAGCUAGUUGGUGAGGUAACGGCUCACCAAGGCAACGAUGCGUAGCCGACCUGAGAGGGUGAUCGGCCACACUGGGACUGCGACACGGCCCAGACUCCUACGGGAGGUAGCAGUAGGGAAUCUUCCGCAAGGGACGAAAGUCUGACGGAGCAACGCCGCGUGAGUGAUGAAGGCUUUCGGGUCGUAAAACUCUGUUGUUAGGGAAGAACAAGUGCUAGUUGAAUAAGCUGGCACCUUGACGGUACCUAACCAGAAAGCCACGGCUAACUACGUGCCAGCCGCCGCAGUAA